rnacentral:rRNA from 1 species
CCUACGGGAGGCUGCAGUGGGGAAUAUUGCACAAUGGGCGCAAGCCUGAUGCAGCCAUGCCGCGUGUGUGAAGAAGGCCUUCGGGUUGUAGAGCACUUUCAGCGGGGAGGAAGGCGGUGAGGUUAAUAACCUCAUCGAUUGACGUUACCCGCAGAAGAAGCACCGGCUAACUCCGUGCCAGCAGCCGCGGUAAUACGGAGGGUGCAAGCGUUAAUCGGAAUUACUGGGCGUAAAGCGCACGCAGGCGGUCUGUCAAGUCGGAUGUGAAAUCCCCGGGCUCAACCUGGGAACUGCAUUCGAAACUGGCAGGCUAGAGUCUUGUAGAGGGGGGUAGAAUUCCAGGCGUAGCGGUGAAAUGCGUAGAGAUCUGGAGGAAUACCGGUGGCGAAGGCGGCCCCCUGGACAAAGACUGACGCACAGGUGCGAAAGCGUGGGGAGCAAACAGGAUUAGAUACCCGAGUAGUC